CACAGAACAAAUACUAGCAUUGUGCUACCGUUAAGAGAAGGCAGUUCACAUACUUCCUGUUACUGACGGCCUUGGCAUGACCAAUAUUUACAGAAAUGUUAUGGGUUAGACAGCACACAAUUAAACUUGUCAUAACACAACUCAUCCAAGAAAAAGAUGCGAGGAGAGAUGAGAGGAUGAUGUCAGCUGGCAGACAGAGAGGGGAGAGGAGGUGCCAGGGGGCAGGAUGUUUCUCCUCUUUCCCUAAUGAGUGUGGAGUGCUUCUCACUGGACACAGGCCAGCUCCUGCUACACACCUGGGGAAACCCGGACACGCUGCUCACCGAUAUUCUGAGCUCAGCUAAUACUGUACCUCUGUAUUAAGUCUUAACGCUCAACACCUCUCACUGGAGCCUGAACAAAGAUCUCACACAGGCCAUCUCUAAUGGACAUGCAAGGUGUUGAGGACCAAAUGAAUCCCAGCGGGAUUGGUGUCAGUACACACAGAACUUUCUAUUAAUCAUAGAAUAAUGAAAAACAUAUUACAGUACAUAUUACAGUGUGUCAAUGCUGAUAAUAAAUGUUUCUUGAGCACCA
ensembl:lncRNA